AUUGAACGCUGGCGGCAUGCUUUACACAUGCAAGUCGAACGGUAACAGGCCUUCGGGUGCUGACGAGUGGCGAACGGGUGAGUAAUGCAUCGGAACGUACCCAGAGGUGGGGGAUAACGCAGCGAAAGCUGUGCUAAUACCGCAUGUGAUCUGAGGAUGAAAGCGGGGGACCGAGCAGCAAUGUUUGGCCUCGCGCCUUUGGAGCGGCCGAUGUCGGAUUAGCUAGUUGGUGGGGUAAAGGCCUACCAAGGCGACGAUCCGUAGCUGGUCUGAGAGGACGACCAGCCACACUGGGACUGAGACACGGCCCAGACUCCUACGGGAGGCAGCAGUGGGGAAUUUUGGACAAUGGGCGCAAGCCUGAUCCAGCAAUGCCGCGUGCGGGAAGAAGGCCUUCGGGUUGUAAACCGCUUUUGGCAGGAACGAAACGGUGUCCGCUAAUACCGGGCGCUAAUGACGGUACCUGCAGAAUAGCACCGGCUAACUACGU
rnacentral:rRNA from 1 species